rnacentral:rRNA from 1 species
AUUGAACGCUGGCGGCAUGCUUUACACAUGCAAGUCGAACGGUAACAGGUCUUCGGAUGCUGACGAGUGGCGAACGGGUGAGUAAUACAUCGGAACGUGCCUAGUAGUGGGGGAUAACUACUCGAAAGAGUAGCUAAUACCGCAUGAGAUCUACGGAUGAAAGCAGGGGACCUUCGGGCCUUGUGCUACUAGAGCGGCUGAUGGCAGAUUAGGUAGUUGGUGGGGUAAAGGCUUACCAAGCCUGCGAUCUGUAGCUGGUCUGGGAGGACGACCAGCCACACUGGGACUGAGACACGGCCCAGACUCCUACGGGAGGCAGCAGUGGGGAAUUUUGGACAAUGGGCGAAAGCCCGAUCCAGCAAUGCCGCGUGCAGGAUGAAGGCCCUCGGGUUGUAAACUGCUUUUGUACGGAACGAAAAGCCUGGGGCUAAUAUCCCCGGGUCAUGACGGUACCGUAAGAAUAAGCACCGGCUAACUACGUGCCAGCCGCCGCCGUAA